CAGUAGCCGCGGUAAAACGGAGGGUGCAAGCGUUAAUCGGAAUUACUGGGCGUAAAGCGUGCGUAGGCGGCUUUUUAAGUCGGAUGUGAAAUCCCUGAGCUUAACUUAGGAAUUGCAUUCGAUACUGGGAAGCUAGAGUAUGGGAGAGGAUGGUAGAAUUCCAGGUGUAGCGGUGAAAUGCGUAGAGAUCUGGAGGAAUACCGAUGGCGAAGGCAGCCAUCUGGCCUAAUACUGACGCUGAGGUACGAAAGCAUGGGGAGCAAACAGGAUUAGAUACCCCCGUAGUCCCUGUCUCUUAUAC
rnacentral:rRNA from 1 species